rnacentral:lncRNA from 1 species
UGAAAAUGUUUUCAAUUACUAAGUUUUUCUUAAAACACCAAAAUCCUCCCCUCCAGCUUUAAGAUGUUUUACUCCCAGCCUAGUACCCAAAAAAAGGGGAAAGGAAAACAAGAAUCUUUGUGCCUGCCCUUUGCAUGACCCAGGACUCCGGUGCCAAUGAAAAGAACACAAUCCUGAGGCCAAACUCAGCCUCUACCCUGGACAUCACAGAAUCCUGAAUAGACUUCGGAAGAGCUGUGACCUAGGAUGGAGGCUGUCAAUCAAGGGGCACUGCCUCCCCUCAGAAGGCUGGGAAGGUCUGCCAGUGAAAUAAUGGAAACUUUCCGGGAGCAAGAAGCUAAAAGAUUUUUGUCAAGACAAAUGCUCGGCAUAAGGAAAAUGAAGGUAAAUUAACUAACACCAGAGACCACAGCUGCUAGGUCAAUGUAGGAUGAGCUGUAAGAAACAAGUGACAUCGUGAAGCCCUGGUACUGGACAAGAAGUUAAUGUUUAUAUUGAGAACAGCUGGACUAGAAAUUCUUUGAGGCCAGAGGCUGUGGUUUGCGUUUCCCCUGAAUCUCCUACAGCUUCCAACACAAUGCUGAACAUAGUCAUCUGAGGCCACUGUGACAUGGAGAAAGUCCUAUAUAAAUCAGCCUUGUAAAUCUGAAAAUCUAUGAAGAAGUAGCUCAGGAGGGAAAUUUUUUUAAUCAUAACUCCAGGUUAAGAACACUUGGGGUUGAAAUGGUUGAAUGAGAAG